UUUAAAUAAAGCCCUCACAAUCGGACCUUAAUCUAUUAUAUUGCGAUUAGAACGUCCAUGAACUACAAUUUAAUACUAUAGUUAAUACAACUGUUAUACAAAUGUUGAAUGAGAUAUGUUUGAUAUGCCAAAAACAAAUAAAAUAUAGUAUCAUAAUUAAACUACAAAAAAUGCCAUAAUAAAUGGAACAACCAUUGACUUUGGUUUUAUAAAUUAGCAUGUGAUGAGUAAGUUGUUAAUUGAACUAGCAAGAGAAAUGGCUUCAAAGAAGAGUUUUCUUAUUUGGGUUGUUCUCUUUUUGUGUAUGAUGAGUUUCUCUGCCAAGGCAAUAAUAGCAAGGAACAUUAUUGGUGGGUCUAAAAUUUAUGAAGUUUCAGAUAAAAUGGGUCAAAACAGAAAACUCCUUGAGGCAGAUGAGAGAUGUAAGAGAGGAAGAAUUACAAUUGGGCUUAAUCAAAGUCACGAAGGCAAGCCAGAAAAUAAUCCACGUUGCCACAAUUAUCUUUGAUCUCGAUGUUUAGUUCAUGUAAUUUUUGUGAUUUAAAGUUAAUGUAAUUUGUGUUAGUAUAAUAUUUCUAAUUAUGUAUUUUUUUUAAAUAUAUAAUUAUGUAUUUGAAAACAAUAAAUUGAAAAGUUGGAAUAAUUUGGAAAAAUAUAUAAACCUUGGAGAUCCCUCGUUUUUUCAGAAAUAGUACAAUUUUAUUAAUAUAUUA